GACGAAGCGUGCAAACGUUAUUCGGAAUCACUGGGCUUACAGAGUUCGUAGGCGGUCUGGUAAGUUGGGUGUGAAAUCCCUCGGCCUAACCGAGGAACUGCGCUUGAAACUACCAGACUCGAGGGAGAUAGAGGAAAGCGGAACUGAUGGUGGAGCGGUGAAAUGCGUUGAUAUCAUCAGGAACACCGGUGGCGAAGGCGGCUUUCUGGGUCUUACCUGACGCUGAGGAACGAAAGCCAGGGGAGCGAACGGG
rnacentral:rRNA from 1 species